rnacentral:ncRNA from 1 species
CAUCGUCCAGGGCACAACCGGGGAAACCCGGUGCCGCAAAGCCUCGGGGCUAAAGAGAAGACGGACGGCGGACCCCCUCCAAGCCAGCCGGGCUGCCGAG